rnacentral:rRNA from 1 species
UACGAGGGAUGCAAGCGUUAUCCGGAAUUAUUGGGCGUAAAGCGUCCGCAGGUGGCUCUGUAAGUCUGUCGUUAAAGAAUGGGGCUCAACCCCAUACAGGCGAUGGAAACUACAAGGCUAGAGUUUGGUAGGGGUCACGGGAAUUCUUAGUGUAGCGGUGAAAUGCGUAGAUAUUAAGAAGAACACCAGCGGCGAAAGCGCGUGACUGGGCCAGUACUGACACUCAUGGACGAAAGCUAGGGGAGCGAAAGGG